ACGGGUGCGUAACACGUGACUUACCUGCCCAGAAGUGGGGGAUAGCUCGCCGAAAGGCGAAUUAAUACCGCAUGUGAUCGCAAGAUCAAAGCAGCGAUGCGCUUCUGGAUGGAGUCGCGGCCUAUCAGCUUGUUGGUGAGGUAACGGCUCACCAAGGCUUUGACGGGUAGCUGGUCUGAGAGGACGACCAGCCACACUGGAACUGAGACACGGUCCAGACACCUACGGGUGGCAGCAGUCGAGAAUUUUUCUCAAUGGGGGAAACCCUGAAGGAGCGACGCCGCGUGGAGGAUGAAGGCUUUCGGGUUGUAAACUCCUGUCAUCUGGGAACAAAACUCGCAAGAGCUUGAUAGUACCAGAAGAGGAAGAGACGGCUAACUCUGUGCCAGCAGCCGCGGUAAUACAGAGGUCUCGAGCGUUGUUCGGAUUCAUUGGGCGUAAAGGGCGCGUAGGCGGCGGGGUAAGUCUGGUGUGAAAUCUCGGAGCUCAACUCCGAAAUUGCACUGGAUACUGCUCUGCUAGAGGGCUGGAGAGGAGAUCGGAAUUCACGGUGUAGCAGUGAAAUGCGUAGA
rnacentral:rRNA from 1 species